rnacentral:rRNA from 1 species
CCUACGGGGGGCAGCAGUGGGGAAUCUUCCGCAAUGGGCGAAAGCCUGACGGAGCAACGCCGCGUGAAGGAAGAAGGUUUUCGGGUCGUAAACUUCUUUUAUGAGGGAAGAGCAGAAGACGGUAUAUCUGGAAUAAGCCACGGCUAAGUAAGUGCCAGCAGCGCCGGUAAUACGUAGGUAGCAAGCGUUGUCCGGAUUUACUGGGUGGAGAGGGCGGGUAUCCGGGGUUGCAAGUCAGGUGUGAAAUUCCGGGGCUCAACCCGGGAGAGGCAUUUGAAACUGUUGGUCUUGGGUAUCGGAGAGGCGAGCGGAAUUCCUUGUGUAGCGGUGAAAUGCGUAGAUAUUAGGAGGAACACCAGUGGCGAAGGCGGCCUGCUGGUCGACAACUGACGGUGAGGCGCGAAAGCGUGGGGAGCAAACAGGAUUAGAUACCCUUGUAGUC